rnacentral:rRNA from 1 species
UACGUAGGGGGCAAGCGUUGUCCGGAUUUAUUGGGCGUAAAGAGCGUGUAGGCGGUCAGGUAGGUCCGUUGUGAAAACUCGAGGCUCAACCUCGAGACGCCGAUGGAAACCAUCUGACUAGAGUCCGGAAGAGGAGAGUGGAAUUCCUGGUGUAGCGGUGAAAUGCGUAGAUAUCGUGAGGAACACCAGUGGCGAAGGCGGCAUCCUGGCCUGUAACUGACGCUGAGACGCGAAAGCGUGGGGAGCGAACCGG